GACCAUAACACAUUGAAACACCGGUUCCUGUACGAUCACUGAAGUUAAGCAAAUUCAAGCCAGGUUAGUACAUUGAUGGGUGACCACCUGGGAAUACAAGGUGCUGUAAG